AUAGCUUACAACUUUAUCCUCCUCUGAUUCAAUCACUGAUUGAACACUGGCAAACAGUUUGAACAUGAAGAUGACAGUUGUUAACAAAUUGAAAAUCCAUCUUGCCGUUAAAUUCAUUGCUUUUAGCUGGCAAAAACACAGAAAGCAAUAAUGGCUAGGAAUGAUACUUUAUGGACAAACUUAACAAAUUUUCAAUCAAUAGCAACAAUUAUUACAUCAAUUAUCUCGAGUCGAAAGUAAGACUAAAGUUUGGUUUGCAAUUCACUGGUUGUUAACGUUGAUGAGUUACAAUCAGUUUUGCUCCCUCAAUUUCAUCUCCAUCCUCCUAGUCAACAUCAACUUAUCAACUAUCAACAGGCCCAGCACACUUGAUGGUCAUUCUGCCUUAACCAAAUGUUUAAAUAUACAUCAUAAUGGGUGGACAAGAUGAGAUGUCAAUUGUUGAAUGUGAAAGUUAACAGACCCAACUCUGGCCUCAAUAGUUUAUUCAUCUUUGACCUUGGUAUUUGACCUGAUUUACUGAUUGAUUAUCUUAACUGGUAAAGGAUUGUCACUUUCAACCACAUUAGUACCACAUAAAAUUAAUAUACAGCAUUAUUCAAUCCUUUUUUAGAGGGUUUAGGUUACCGUGAUGAAAACAAGGGUAAUUGAGUGAACCUUUUAUGAAGAUGAUGUUGCUCAAAAUCCUGAAUAAGUGAUUCAACAAAGAUUUAAGUGAAACAUUGAUUAAUUACUCACCAUGCAAUCCUGAUUAAUAUCUACGCAUUUAAAUGUAAAGCUUUAUUUGAUGGACACUUUGAAAGGUAGCAGUAAAAACAACACCACCAGAUCCACGAUCACGAGCUUGGCCACAUCCAUAUUGCUGUGUUGUUUUGGAAACAAUCCGUACAAAAUCAAGAUUAUCCUUUGGUGCAACUGGAUCAUCAUAAUUGUAUUUCCUCUCUUCAGCUCGAUACCAAGACUCCAUUACACCUGAUAAUACUCUGUCCUCAGGAUCGGCAUAGUAAAGAUAAUUUUGGCAAUAUUUCAUUUUCCAGAUCAUUUUCAUAUUGAUGAAUUGGUGGAUUACCUUCAUACUAGCCAUACACUACAGCGGCUUGUCUUUCUAGAUUCACAAGCUAAUACAAUUAAAUAAAGAGAAGGUCAAUUAAGUACACAUUAAUAUGGGAAAAGGUUUCAUCAUAAGCAAAACAUGCGUCUCUUACAUUUAUGGACAAUUCGGGUGAUCCAUGUCGCAUCCUGAGGAAGAAGAACCUGAGAUAGAGGAGAAAGAAAGAGAAGAAAACGGCAAAGCCAGAUUAAGACGAGCACGUAGAGAACGUUCAUCUUUUUGAUCAUUUUCUUUAUGAAGAUCAAUUAUCACUUUAGUAUCUAGUUUAUGCAAAAAACAAAAAUGGAUCAAACCAAACAAUGUAACUUUACUUUACCUUUCUCUCAUUUUUGAAAAUCUUACCAUGCUUCCCUAUUUCCUCGAAUAUGAUCUUUUCCCAAUUUCAUCAUCCUUGAAUAAUACAUGUAUGAUGUUCUGAAUUCCGUUUUUUCAAAGAAUCAUAUUGAAAAAAACAUAAAUGUUUCGUGGAGCAUUUUAA